UGCAGCCCAGUCAAAUUCGGUCCCUGUCCCCCCAUGGCGGGGACCGGCCACCGGCUGCCACAGUGACCCCCGUGCUCCAAAUGUCCCCUGUCCCCUCCCGUGGGACCUGGGGAGGAGGAUCCCCACGGACACAC
rnacentral:snoRNA from 1 species